GACGAACGCUGGCGGCGUGCCUAAUACAUGCAAGUCGAACGAAGUGGGGACGGGUGAGUAACACGUGGGUAACCUUCCAUCAGAGGGGGGAAAACUUGGAAACAGGUGCUCACCCGAUACGGAUGGAUGGACACGGUGUGCAUUAGCUAGUUGGGGAGGGCACGGCUCACCAAGGCUACGAUGCAUAGGUGACCGGAGAGGGUGACCGGCCAAACUGGAACUGAGACACGGCCCAGACUCCUACGGGAGGCAGCAGUGGGGAAUAUUCGGCAAUGGGCGAAAGUCUGACCCAGCAAUGCCGCGUGAGUGAAGAAGGUCUUCGGGUCGUAAAACUCUUUUGGUGGAGAAGCGGUAUCUAAACAGAAAGCCCCGGCUAACUACGUGCCAGCAGCCGCGGUAAUAC
rnacentral:rRNA from 1 species